rnacentral:rRNA from 1 species
CCUACGGGUGGCAGCAGUGAGGAAUAUUGGUCAAUGGGCGUAAGCCUGAACCAGCCAAGUCGCGUGCGGGAUGAAGGUUCUAUGGAUCGUAAACCCCUUUUAUAAGGGAAUAAAGUGUGGGACGUGUCCUGUUUUGUAUGUACCUUAUGAAUAAGGAUCGGCUAACUCCGUGCCUGCAGCCGCGGUACUGCGGUGGAUCCGUGCGUUCUCCGGAUUUAUUGGGUUUAAAGGGUGCGUAGGCGGCCUUUUAAGUCAGAGGGGAAAGUCUGUGGCUCAACCAUAGAAUUGCCGUUGAAACUGGGAGACUUGAGUGUGUUAGAGGCAGGCGGAAUGCGUGGUGUAGCGGUGAAAUGCGUAGAUAUAUCGCAGAACCCCAAUGGCGAAGGCAGCUUGCCGAGCCAUGACUGACGCUGAUGCACGAAAGCGUGGGGAUCAAACAGGAUUAGAUACCCGAGUAGUC